rnacentral:rRNA from 1 species
UACGUAGGUGGCGAGCGUUGUCCGGAUUUACUGGGCGUAAAGGGAGCGUAGGCGGACUUUUAAGUGAGAUGUGAAAUACCCGGGCUCAACUUGGGUGCUGCAUUUCAAACUGGAAGUCUAGAGUGCAGGAGAGGAGAAUGGAAUUCCUAGUGUAGCGGUGAAAUGCGUAGAGAUUAGGAAGAACACCAGUGGCGAAGGCGAUUCUCUGGACUGUAACUGACGCUGAGGCUCGAAAGCGUGGGGAGCAAACAGGAUUAGAUACCCGGUA